GACUGAUUGCUUCAGCAACCCCACAAAUUAAUUACCACGACCUUGACUUUAAAGGCUUCCUCCAUAUGAGUAGCAGUACUUGCUUUGGCAACCAAACAAUUUAGUCGGCUAGACAUUAAUUGGUUCACACGUCUUUGUUUUUUCUUUUAAGUUCAGCCUUUCCCGGAAGACGCCUCCUCCAUCAACUACCUGCUUUAGCAAGUCCACACACAAACCAUGAUCCAACGCUUAUAAAAGCAUACCGAUUGAAACAAUUUCCUUCAAACAAAGAAAAAAACAGAGUAAGAAAUGGGUGUCAGGUAUCUGCUCAUGACCUUAGUGUUCUAUGGAGGACUACUACUACUCUUUGGAUCCACGGCUUUCAUGGGUACCCAUGUCUCUUUGUCUAAUUACUUUGAUCAACCUCCAUCCAACCACUUCUAUCCUAAAUAUUUGAAGGUGGUUUCCCGGAAAAAGAGCACACCACCACCGCCAGCCCCUAUUUUGAAUGUACCAGUUCAUUAUAGGCGGCUGCCGCCGCCGCCACCACCACCAGCCCCUGCUCGGAAUUUACCACAACAUCAGCGCAUACCUCCAUCUAUGCCAAAUCCGAGCCUGAAGCCAUCACCACCACCACCAACAUCGUCAAAGUUGGAAUCAUCGCCGCUGCCACCAGUAUGAAGAAGACUUUGAUGCAGAUGAGGAGGAGGAGGCUAGUCUGAGGAGGCGGCUCCACCAGAAUAUUGAGUUGGAGUCACUUGUAUUGUUGAAAAAUAUUUCCCUUACCUUUAUUUUAUGUAUUUUGGAUUUCUGACAAUGUUAAACUUGUAAUAUUUUGAUACGUUUGUUUUAAGUGAAUUUGUAUUUAAAUAAAAUUAUGGUACUUAGUUGAA